UCCUCUCUGUGGAAAACAACAGGCGGGCGGGUGAGCGGGCUCCUCCGCGGCGCGGCGUGGGCACGGCCUGGGCAGAGCCGGGGGCUCUUGGCAGUCUCUCGUCUCCCGCGCCUCCCUCCGCCUCCCCUCGCCUCUCAGCCUCAGCCUCGACCUACUCUCCUCUCUGACCCUUUCUGGACCCGCGGCCCCGCAGCGCUCCCGGAGCCACCGUCCCCAUCCUCCUCCGGACGGGGCUGGUCCACACGUGUCCGGACAGCCCACGGCAGGGCAGGCCGCCCCCUCUAGGCGCCCUCCUGUCCCCUUGUGAGGUUUUCGCAGAACCACCGGCUCUGACAGAAAGGGAACCUUGGAGAUCCAGAAGGAGCUGCUUUCCCUGACCUUCUUUCCUUCCUUAAUCCUGACCUUGCCUUCUCUCUCCUUCUCUUCUCGCCUCUCCUCUCUUAAUCUUCUCCAUCUUUCUCUCCAUCCCCAGGGCAUUGCAAUCAUUAGCACUACUAGGCUUGUUCUGUUUUUAUUUCUAGUUUGUUCCUAAUAUAAGUUAUUAGCACUAUUCUUAAUAUUAAUGAACUCUUCUUAAGUAAGCAUGUCCAAGAAUUCUCACCGGCGCGAUACAAGGGAAAAGUGAAAAAAUUAAUACAGGCCCUGCCCUCCAGGAGCUUACAGUCUAGACAAGACAAGAGAGGUGCAAAGACGCGAGGGAGAUGGAGGGCAGGAGAGCAGAAGAGAAGACUGGCAGGGGAAGGGGAAAGAGAAAAGCCAUGCGAUGAGGGGCCGGUUGACAUGCUGUGGUCCCAGCACUCCGUGGCGAUGGUAGGCAGGGUGGGGGUGGGGGUCCCAGCCGGCCGGUGGCAGGCAGGGGUGAGAGGGAGCAGGGCGCCGGUCCCCUGCCGCGCAGCAGCAUGCAGCAUGCAUCAGGUUUUACCUGAUCUCAUUAGACAAGUCGCCGCAGGCCCCUCCGCCGACCCCGCCGCCGACCCCGCCGCCGUAGCCGAAGGGACCGCGGGAGCCGCCGCCGACCCCGGCGCCCCCGCAGCAGCAGCAGACGAGCCCCCAGAUGCCCACCAAGAGGCAGCCCAGCGCGAGCAAAGAGCCCAGCACUGCGCCGAUGAUGAUUCCUAUGCGCCGGGUGUCUGGGGAGAAAAGGAGACUAGUCAGGCUUUCUGCAGCCUGGCAGUUGCUUGGCUAACCCGGAGUGGCAAGCACAGGGCUUCUGGCUCCCAGGGUGACCUUGGCAGAGCUAUAUGCACUGAUGAGACCCAUAAGGCUGAGCCUGCUGAGACUCCAACAUACAGCCCAGGUUCCUCCCGUCCAAACCUCCCGGCCGAGGGGCCGUUGCCUGCACCCACCUGAGACCUUCACCUCCACCACGCACACGCUGUAGCCCACGUGGUUGGCCACUGUGCACUGAUACAGCCCAUCAUCCUUGUAGGAGAUGUCCUUCAACACUAGGUCACCGUUGUUCAGGCCUGAAACUGAAGGAGCAUCAGAGGGCAGUGGUGAGGCCAAGGGGCCCGGUCUUUGAGAGCUUCACCCUAGCCUAGACCACUGCGGGAUGGCUCAUGGAAGGAGGGUGUGUGUACACACACAAGUCCACCCCACUGUGUCCAGCAGCUUCUGGAACAGGCUCAGAGGAGGAGUCUCCCACAGUUGGUGCUGCUGAGGACCUAGGGAAGCCCCAGCGGGACCCAGCGUCCCCAUCUUCCCCUCUUACAAGGCCCCCUCACCUUGACUGAUGGAGCUGUGGAAGGACUCCUGGUAGGAGAGCUCAGAGUGGAAGCUGUGUUGAGAAUGGUAGGACCCGGCACGGUAGGGGUGAGUAUGCCCGCUGAUCUUGGCCCACUUGUAGGUGAGAGGUGGGCUGCCCCCAUUGGCAAAGCACUUCAGCACCACAUCAUUGCCAUGUGUAAAGUGGCCCUCAGACCAGCACAAGGGCACCGCAGGCCGUGCUACAGGGGAGAGGGCAGUUGUGAGCCAGGGCCCAGCCAAGAGGCAGAGCCAGGCUCAGGAUGGCCAAGCCACCAUUGAUUCUGAAGUCUGGGGAAGGGGAUCCCAGAGGAGUCUGCUCAUACCUUGGACAGUGAUGAUGACCCUCCGGGUGGCCGUGGUGGUCUUCUUCACCCGGCACUCAUAGGUGGCUGUGUCGGAGACUUGCAGGUUCGAAAGGGUGAUCGAGGCGUCGUACUGGCUGGGGUCUGAGGCUGCAAAGCGGACCCUCUGCUGCAGGUGGGGGAGGUUGCCAUGGUUGAUCCUCUUGUCCUGGUAACUAAGGAACUGUGAAGAGAAGAAAACAGAGAUGGUGAGACAGGCAGAGCCAAGGAAGCCCUUGUGGAUUGGCUGUCUGGGCAAUUCACCGAACUUACCUGAGACUCAGCUUUCUUGGAUGAAAAACAGGAAUGAUAAUGCCUGAUCCACUGACUUUUAACAGAAUGUGUGAGAUCAUUUGAAAUCAGGCACUCUUUGCCUAAUAGCUACCUCCCAGGGGCACGUGAGGAUUAAAUGGGAUGAGAUGAAUAAAGCCACAGGCACACGCAGAAGCUGGAUGAUACUCAAAGACUGUCUGAGCUGGAAGUAUAAGGUCAGGCCAGGACAGUGCCCAUCUUCCUUUUGGAGGGGUGGGAGGAGGUGGCCUGACUGACUGGCUUGAUUGGAAAUUACACAGCUCCUCCCCAUUGCCCCAUUCUCUCAGAAGCCUUGGGGAAAGUUCAAGGGCUUGGUUUUCUUAUUUGCCCUGCAGUGUGCUAGCUGCCCAACAAGUAAAUACUGUGAAGUGUGGAGUAAGGGGAAUCACAUACCCAGCACUUACCACAUUCUCCCGAUGUGAGGGGUCUGAGUUGACCUGCGUCCACUCGAUGUCCAGCCCAUUAGGACCAUAGUCCUCAGGGUCCAGGAUGUAGGGGCAGCCCAGCCUCACAUUGUCACCUUCCGCCAGGUACAGGAUCUCCUGGCCAUCCCCGUUGAUCCGUACAGCAGACAGCAGCGCUAGGACACAGGCAGGCCAGAUGGGGGGAUAUGAGUGUGAUUUCUGGUCGAGGAACUGAGAUCCUACACCCCGUGAGGCAGCUGAGCCCACGCACCACAACUAUUGAGCCAACACACUCUCGAGUCUAUGCGCCACAACUCGAAAAAGCCCGUGUUCUGCAGUGAAGACCCAGCACAGUCAAAAGUAACAAAAUAAAAUUUUAAAAUAAAAUAUGAA